GCUAAAGUGCGUCUCUUGUAUUCAGGCAAUAUCCACUACUUUUUUUCUUAAGUCUCUGAGUAAGAGGCUACGUUUAUGUGGGGUAUUAAGCCCCUUAACAUUAAGGGUCGUGACUUUCAUAGUGUAUUAUACGUCGAAUCUGGGUUGAUCCUAUUGGUCAUCCCUGGGAAGCUGGUAGAGAGUGUAUGGUCAGAUCUGUAAUGACUGUUAUAGUAGUUGGCAUAGUUGGGGAGAGUAGCCAUCUCAGUAGCCAUUGAUGCAAGAUGCAGAGGGGGUGGAGGUAACUUGGGAAAGUGAAAACAAAACAGAAAUAAUGAACAAAAUAGCGCUCAGAAGGUCUGAGCCAUGGUGUGUCAUGGCAUGGCCAGGAGGGGUAGCCUUGAGCGGCUCCACGUCUGGGAGUCACUCAGAUGGUAGUACUCAAAAUAAGCUAUUUGCUAGCUAAGAG